rnacentral:rRNA from 1 species
ACAGCAGUCGCCACGGUAAUACGAGGGGGGCAAGCGUUGUUCGGAAUUAUUGGGCGUAAAGGGUGCGUAGGCGGUCUGAUAAGUCUGAUGUGAAAUCUAUGGGCUCAACCCAUAGUCUGCAUUAGAAACUGUCGGGCUUGAGUAUGGGAGAGGUGAGUGGAAUUUCCGGUGUAGCGGUGAAAUGCGUAGAUAUCGGAAGGAACACCUGUGGCGAAAGCGGCUCACUGGACCAUUACUGACGCUGAUGCACGAAAGCUAGGGGAGCAAACAGGAUUAGAUACCCCAGUAGUCCCUGUCUCUUAUAC